rnacentral:misc_RNA from 1 species
UUUCAGGAUGAUUUGGGGCGUGCAACUCCCGUGACAGGCCACCCUUCUCGCCCUGCUAGCAGUAAUGCAUUUAAUGAAAAUAUUGAGACUGUAGGUUCAGCUGAAGCUGAGCUGGCUCAUUUGCGCCGCAAUUUGUCAUCUACAGAUGCUCGACGAUCGGGUUCAAAUGGUCAGGGCUCAUCUGCUGUCCAUAAUAUUGGGCCACCUUCAUCUUAUUCUUAUGCUGCCGUUGUAGGUUCUUCCUUGUCUAGAAGUACUA